rnacentral:lncRNA from 1 species
GAGCUUCAAUUAGGAUUUUAUGUUGUUACAACUUAAACAGUGAAUGAGAAAACAAAUACAUGAUUUUUCAACUAAGGAAGAUUUACUUAGGUAGAGUUUUCCUGUUUUGAACUAAUGGAAAAAUUUUUCAAAAUACAGUACAGAGAGUGACACAAUGGAUACCUAUACGCAAUUACUAAAUUACUAAAUGUUGCCACAUCUUCAUUCCAUUUUUGUCUUGUGAAAUACUGCCGGGCACAGCCCUUGAAGUUUCAUUCCUGUACUCUUCA